rnacentral:lncRNA from 1 species
AACCAUUCCCACCCCUACCCAACACCACCAUCACCCCUACCCACCAUCACCACCACUAUUACAUCCACAUUAUUAGUACAUUCAAUGUAGGUGUUGUUGUUCGUCUUGUGUGUGUUGCUGAUAGUCUUCUCUAUAAUCCAGACCUUUUUCUUCCACCCUACUACUGGUAUAUUUGUGUUUGUCUCUGUAUAUGUUUAUGUUUUCCCUCCUCCUUUCUUUUUCUUCUUAUUAAGCUAAUUUUGAUUGCAGGUCCCGUAAAUCUCAGCACAAAGAAAAAUCAGAUCUUGUCCGAG